AUGGCUUCUUGGGGACAGUGCUAAAUUGCCAUAUUUGGUAAACAAAGGACCUCUUGACAAUAUUUACCACAAGAUAACAAGAGAUGCAACAUUCCACCAGUGAGAAAGGCUGAAGACAUUCAGUCAGAGGAGAGGAGUUGAAAAGACAAAAAGCUUUUGGUUCACAAGGUUUUAGACAUGAAGUUUGUGGUGGAGCAGGUGAGCAAGGAUUGAGGAUGGCGAGGCAGGCUGGGUGGUUUCCGCAGCCAGCCGGAUAGUAUCCACAGCACUCCACUCUCCCUUAUUUUCAUCAAUGGAGGCAGUAUACCACAUCUUACGCAGGAUGUGCUGCACUGGUGGCGUGGCAUUGAGGGAAGCACCUCUUUGUAUCCCUGCCCAGCACUUUAUUGAACACAGGAAGGUGCUCCAGAGUUUCAAGAAGGGAGUGGUACACACACUUUGCUGCAUUCCAAGCUUUUGGAGGUCCAGCAACACACUGCUUUCUUAUAAGUGUGUGUCCAGAGUGCAAGGCAGAGAGGGGCAAGGAUGGAGGAUGCUUCAAUAUUCACAGCAUCAUUGGUUCAUGCUUCCUUUUUUUGUGGAAAGUAGUGCACACAGUUUUAACCAAAGGAUUAUAUGUUAUCAUUCAAAUUCAUAGAUUUCAUGACUUAACAUUGUGUAUAUUUAGCUACAAGGAGUAAUGGUUUAUGAAAUUUGUAAUGUACAGACAUGAACCAUUGUCCAUUGCACUUUCUGCAGAUGGAAUUUCAGUCAACACUGCAAGGUGUGUGUGUGUGUGUGUGUGUGUGUGUGUGUGUGUGUGUGUGUGUGUGUGUGUGUGGGUGGGUGUGUGUGUGUGCAGCUUUGUGGGCAAGUGUGCCAGUCAUUCCCUUAUGUCAAUGUCUUUCAUUUCGGAAGAAAAUGUUGUGUGUUAUCAGGUUUAUAUACAUUUUUGAGUGAAUAUUUAGACUGAUUAAGUAGUAAGUUUCUCAACUUUCUAGAGCUUUGCUCUCACUGUUCUGUGUAAGACUUCAGGGGCCGUAAUCUACAAACUGUCAUAGCUAAUAACAUCAUUCCAAGACAAAAUGCUGUAUUUUAGACACAAGUCCCUCUAUGACAAGCUCUAACCUUGUGACUUGUCAUAAGUAUCAAGAUAGGGUUCAUCCUGUUGUGCUGCCAACUGCCAUCUUAAAACUCUUGUCAACAUGAUGGGAACUUGGCUGUAUGUACCAUAGCAUGAUCCCAGACGUUUUUUUAUAAAUAUUUAGUGAUAAGCAUCUGUAAUGAUGACUAAAUAAUGUCCUUCUUUGAUGCAGUAAUUUACCAUCAUAGAUAACUGCCCAGAGAGGUACAAUCAGUUUUCCCAUAACUCAAACAAACCUUACUCGGCAUGGCCUGCAUGUGUCGGGCGUAAUCUUCUCCUGUUUGUUGUGCUUAUUUUGUUUGGAUACACAGUCUAACUCUUCCCAAAGUAGUAAUAUUAUGUCAGAAUUAUUUAAAUUUAAAAAAAAAUUAUGUCAAGGAGUUAUUUCUUUCUAUACAUAUAUGAAGUUGACAAAUAAUGAGCCUAAAGACUAACUGUGGAGUGACAGUCAGGCAUUCAGUGAGACCUGAGGCUAACUGUGUAGAAUGCUGCCCCAGAAUGAUGGUCUGUGUUUAUAUAUAUAUAUAUAUAUAUAUAUAUAUAUAUAUAUAUAUAUAUAUAUAUAUAUAUAUAUAUAUAUAUAUAUAUAUAUAUAUAUAUGAAAUGCUUAAGAUAAUGUUAGAGUUUUGGCCUCAAAAUGCUACUCUUAUGUUCUUAUAUUAUUAUUAUUAUUUUUUUUUUUUUUAUGUUAUAUUAGACAAGUGUUUAGAUGGCAAUGAUAGGUGGAAUGAGGUAGACCUGUUCAUACAGGAACUGCUGCCAUGUUUGUGCAGGCUUCAUAGUAAUGAUAGAUAGAAAGAAGUACAACUGUUCACAGAGGGACUGCUGCCAUGUAUAUGUAGGCCUCAUUUUUGUUUCUCUAGUAGUUUUGGAAUCAUUGCAAGUUGAAAGUACUCCCAAAGUAAUGUAAUACUUGAAAAAUUGUCAAAAUUUUAUUUUUAAAGUUGAAAAUUGUAGAAAUUCUAAGUUGAAAAUUUGUAGAAAUUCUAAGGUAAAAAUUGUAAGUUGAAAGUUGUAGGAUUUUAUCUAAGUUGAAAAUUUUGAUAGACUUCAAAAAUUGUACAAAUCCUGCCAUGCUAGUUUGAAAAUUUGUAGAAAUUCUAAGGUAAAAAUUGUAAGUUGAAAGUUGUAGGAUUUUAUCUAAGUUGAAAAUUUUGAUAGACUUCAAAAAUUGUACAAAUCCUGCUAUGCUAGUGUAAAAAUUCGUCAAAAAUUGUAAUUUUAUCAUUGAAGAUUUUGGUAGUUUUCAGAUUUUACACAAAUGUGUUGAUUGAAUAAAAGGGAAGCAAGGGAGA
rnacentral:lncRNA from 1 species